UACGUAGGGGGCAAGCGUUGUCCGGAUUUACUGGGCGUAAAGCGCGCGUAGGCGGAACGAUCAGUCCGGUCUGAAAGCCCCCGGCUCAACCGGGGAGGGUGGCUGGAAACUGUCGUUCUUGAGGGCGAGAGAGGAGGGUGGAAUUCCGUGGUGUAGCGGUGAAAUGCGUAGAGAUCCGGAAGAACACCGGUGGCGAAGGCGGCCUGACUGGGCAGUUUAGCUGACACUGAGGCGCGACAGCGUGGGAGCAACAGG
rnacentral:rRNA from 1 species